AGUNACUGCGAGUGAAGCGGAAAGUGCUCAAAUUUGUAAUCUGGUGGUCUUUGGCCAUCCGAGUUGUAAUCUGUAGAGGCGUUGUCCGCGUCGGCUCGUGUACAAGUCUCCUGGAAUGGAGCGUCAUAGAGGGUGAGAAUCCCGUCCAUGGCACGAACCACCGAUGCUCUGUGAGACGCUCUCAAAGAGUCGCGUUGUUUGGGAAUGCAGCGCAAAAUGGGUGGUAAAUUCCAUCUAAGGCUAAAUAUUGGCGAGAGACCGAUAGUGAACAAGUACCGUGAGGGAAAGAUGAAAAGCACUUUGAAAAGAGAGUUAAACAGUACGUGAAAUUGUUGGAAGGGAAACGCUUGAAGUCAGUCGUAUUUCAAGGCACUCAGUCUGGCUUCGGCUUGAUGUACUUGUCUUGGAAUGGGUCAACGUCAAUUUCGGCUAGAGGAUAAAGGUAAGAGGAAUGUGACGUCAUUUCGAUGAUGUGUUAUAGCCUCUUAUUGGAUACACUAGCUGGAAUUGAGGAUCGCAGCACGCCCUUGUGGCCAGAGGCCUUGUCUCAUGUAACGUGCUUAGGAUGUUGGCAUAAUGGCUUUAAGCGACCCGUCUUGAAACACGGACCAAGGAGUCUAACAUGCUUGCGAGUGUUUGGGUGGAAAACCCUCAUGCAUAAUAAAAGUGAAAGUUAGGAGCCUCUGUGAAGGGGUGCACUGACGCCCGGCCCUGAAGUUCUCUGACGGUGCUGCGGUAGAGCAAGGGUGUUGGGACCCGAAAGAUGGUGAACUAUGCCUGAAUAGGGCGAAGCCAGAGGAAACUCUGGUGGAGGCUUGUAGCGAUUCUGACGUGCAANUCGAUCGUCAAA
rnacentral:rRNA from 1 species